rnacentral:lncRNA from 1 species
ACCGACAGAUUCUUGGAGCUGUUGCCUUUUGCUGGGCAGAGUCUGGAUACAGAUUCGAAGAGGUCAAGGAGGUAUGUCAUGAAACUUCAUUCCAGGUAUUCCUCCUUGAUCCAGUCAGUGGACAGGGAGAGCUUCCAUGCCAUAGUAGAUAUGGCCAGGAAAAUGGAGGCCAGUGCCAUCGUUCAGGGGACAGUUAAGCAGUCAGUGGCACAGUCUUCCGGUUCUAAAACUUCGGGUGGG